CCCGGCACAAGGCCAAAUGCAGAAUUUGCUGAGAUUGGCAGUUCGAUUCUUGGCUCCUCCAGUCCACCUGUUGAAGUGUCCUUGGGCAAGACACCGAACCCCAAGUUGCCAUGGAUGCUGUACAUCAGUGUGGGAAUGUGUGUGUAAAUAAUUAGGGCUCCCUCAUGAGUUCCCUCAUGGGUUGGCAGUGGCACCCUGGUAGAGCCUGCCAUCAUUGUGUGAAUGGGUGAAUGAUAGACAUGUAUUGUAGAGUGCUUUGAGUGGUUGAUAAUACUAGAAAAGCACUAUAUAUGCAAGAAUAAUCCAUUUACCAUAUUCUUCACUGUGUCCAUCUGUACUUUACACAGCACAGAACCUAUAGUUGUGCAUUACCUGUGUGAUCAUGAGAAGGCUGAAGAACCAGGAGUGACAAGAUAUCACCGGCUGCUGGGGUGCAGCAUUAAACCAAGGGUCAGUAAACUGGCUAAUAUUGUGCGUAGGGACUUGGCUUGGGAACCGGAGGGUCACCAGUUCAAGUCCCACACACCACAAAAUAUGGAGUGUGGACUGGUAGCUGGAGAGGUGCCAGUUUCACCUCCUGUGUGUGUGUGUGUGUGUGUGUGUGUGUUUACACAUUAUUUGGAUUAGGGUAUUUUACGGUUCCGUUUUUUUUACGGGUUUUUUUCUUACAGUGUAUGACUGAAUACGCCCCAAGUUGAGUGCUUUUCUGGUGUGGAAAAAUAAAUACUUUUAAACAGGAAAACAUGCCCCUUUCAUGAGUAGAAUGUGGCAUAAAAAUAUCAGAUUCUAGACAUUUUGGUAAAAUAUUAUUUGCUUUAUGGCAGAAAGUUAGAUCAAUAGGAUCUCAUGUUGGUCUGUAAUAUGCAUACAGUAAGCUACUGCUUGAUAUUUGUCCUAUCUAACUUGGGCUAAUGGUUGAUCUGUGAUCAAGAUUAUUAGAUUAUUAGAAUAUUUAGAAUUUAGAUUGGUAACAUUUACAUGAGGACCACCUCAUAACCACAUAGAUAGAAUAAUGAUAAUAAUUAAAACAUACACUGAGAUAGCAACCACAUCCCAAUUGUUGCUUGUUUAUUGUGGUAUCCAAUUUCUGUUUCCAUGGAAAGCUUUUUGGCAUUUAGUGCCAUUUCGUUUCGUUUGUACCUUUGUCUCCCAAAUUGGCCUGCUGUAACCACUGGCAACCACUUUCAAAAGAAAAUGGGCUCAUUUGUGCAGCACUAGACAAAGUAAAAAACGUUUUAAAAGAAUGAUAUCAUGUUCUUCCCUGACUUGUUGACAACUUUAAGUAAUGUAUGCUAUCUACAACUACACAUUGAUUUGUUAUCUUAUUUGAAAAGCUUAAUUAAUAAAAUUAUGAUCAUCAUUAUUGUAAUCCAAUCAAAGUGUGUCAAACCAUCGGGUGGCAUUGCUGAUACUGGGUUCAUGAUUGUCUGCCCAAGGAUGUUGUAAAAGUUUGUGGUUUGGCUUCCUGAAACUUUGUCUAUAUAGACGCAACCACUCUCAUCCUUUAGCACAUUAAAGAAUUUCCACUCAUGCAACAUGAGCAUAAGAAAUUGUGUUUGUAGAUUGCAGAUAUUAAUGAUAAUUUAACAUUUUAAAUGAGCAUGAUGUAUAUGUUUCAAAUAAGCCUCUUUUGUAACUCUCAUAAGUGUCUCACUGUGACACUUACGGCAUAUGUAUCAUCACUGACUGGCGACUGUGAAGCAGAGAUGAAGAAUAUGCUGCCUUAAUAUAGUCAAUGCUGGAGGCUGUAAAGGUUUUAUCUUAUCUUAUCAGCUUUUUAUUUGUCAGUUAAAAGGUUUCCUGUGACCUGUUGAAGCCUGCUACCUCAAUUCUGUACAAGAGCUUCACUGUGGCAUUUUGUGGCAUACAGUACAACAUUACAGGCAGGAGAUCGCAACAAAAGAUAAUUAAACUGUGUAUUUCCGCUGUAAAAUUAGGCAGCAUGAGUCUGAUUAUAGUGAGAGCAUCAUAACCUCUUUUGCGUGAUAUUUCCGUGACAUUUUGGGCUACAAGAGUAACCUUUUCCUUGUGUGAAUAAUUAAUUUCAUUUAUUGUAUUUUCACAAAGCCAGAAGCACUUUUAUAAGGUUUAAAGGAAUCAAAAGACGAUUGUUUGCUUGCAUACAUUUGUGCUUUUGCCACCCAUGCACAGGUGAUAUAUAUAUAUAUAUAUAUAUAUAUAUAUAUAUAUUGUAUAUUUGUAUGUAUGUGAAUGAAAGUACACAGUUUGUACUUUAUCCAAGCCACCCUCUUACCUCCAGGUUUCUUUUUCUCUCUCUCAUCCCCUCCUUCUCCUCCACUUAACACUUUAUUAUCUCUUGUGUUCCUGGAGGUCUUAUCUUGCCUCCACAUGAUGACGCUGGGCCCCGCAACACCUUUUAUUUGCAUUCUAAUACAAACCAAGCAAAAUUGCCUGGCAGCUCUUGACGAGCCACUGAGAUAAAAAGGGAUUAGAGGUGUUUUUUCUCUGUGGCAUAUUACACCCUGCUGAUUACUGGUCAUCGUUGUUUCUGUUCCUGUGUCUACAAUGUCUGUGUUGACAAUACAUUUCAGUGCAUCACCUGUAAGGGGUCUUUCAUAGAUCAUCUCUCUACUUGAGCGCCUGCUGAUGGACUGUAAGCCCUUUUUCAUCUGUGGUACCUGUGAAGUUCCAUUAUCCUGAGGCAGUCGAGGGUCCAUAGACACAUCACUUUAUACAGAAGCCCCCUGGGUUAUUGCAGGAUGUGGAGCUACCAGGAGAUAAGGUAAAUUCAACCAGUCAGUCUGUGAAAAUACUACAUCCCAUGGCCUUCACAGGAGCAUAACAUGACUCACUCUCUGGUUAGUGCAUCUCAACCAUUUUUGGACUAUAUUCACAGUUUCAAAAGCCUGGAUCUGAACUGACCUCAGACUCUCAUAGGGCCUUUCACGAGAGAGGAGAGUUUCUCCUACGCACUUAUAGCUCGAUCUUAUUCCCAGGUAUUCAAAUACAGAUGCGAGCGGUUUUCAGUUUGUUGCAAUCUACUACUUCACAGCUAGAUGUCACUAAAUCCUACAAAAGAUGUAAGAGCACAAUCUACACUAAUAAUAUUAACGAUUAAAGUUGUAAUGGUUAAACCUGCAGUCGCCCAAAACCUUUAGGAAAUCUAAAUGAUGAUUUUAAUAUACUUAACUUAAUUUACAGAAAUGCUAGCUGUGUGACUCUAUGGAUGGCAGUGCUAAUUGGUCAGUCCAACAUGUUGGCUCUGACAGAAAUAUUUAAAUAACUACUAGAUGGAUUGCCAUGAAUGUGGUACAGAUAUUUACAUUCCCCUGAGGACUUACUGGACUUUUCUUAUGGUGCCACCAACAGGUCUAAGUUUUUUCUCUUAUACAGUGGAACAUGGUGGUGGUUUGGUCGAUUUAAUUGGUUGGGAGUGAGUUGCUGCCCCGAGGCUAAAAUCAAGUGUGAGAUCGUCAGGCGGGUUAGUACAGCGUCAGCAGUGACAAGCAAUUGUUAACAUCGGAGCAUUAUGCUGAAGAGGGAGCUAAACUGGAAGGAAAAGCUUUCAAUUUAUUGGUCUACUGGGGAUAAGCAAGAACACCAUUAUCUGUAUCUGUUCAACCACCUGUGUAGCCUGCUGCCAACACAACCCAGUCCUGGAUAAGCAGUAGAAAAAGGAUAAAGACAAUGAAAUAUCUUAAGAUGAGUGAACACUGAACAGACUGGCACAAAAUGUUUGGCUUUCAGAGGCUAAAGCCUAAUGACUUUGACCCUUGACUUUCUUUUAGCAUCAUCAUGAGGUUGAAAUUUGUAAUUUUGAGUGAAAUCUCUAUCUUACUGGAUUGAAUUGUCAUGAAAUUUAGUAUGGAAUUGAAAAUUAUGAGUUUCAAAUUUUCAAAAUUUGCAGUACAACCUGCAAACUUGGCAUAGAGAAGUUUAGAGGUGCAGUCUAUUUUUGUGGUUGUUGGUCAUUGUCAGUGGAUAACCAAGCUCAGGUCUAAUUGCAGUAUUAAGUACUCGGAAUAAAGGCAUGUAAUUUUCCAUUAAAGAUAUUUAUUGCCAGGGCGCAAGGUUAUAGACUCCCCUACACGUGUGUGUGAGUGUAUGGGAUUCUUUUUUGUCUAUUAAUAAAAAUGCAAAAAAUCACA